rnacentral:rRNA from 1 species
GUGGGGAAUUUUUGGCAAUGGGGGAAACCCUGACCAAGCAACGCCGCGUGGAGGAUGAAGGCCUUCGGGUCGUAAACUCCUGUCGAAGGGGACGAAGGCGGCUGGGGCGAACAACCCCAGUCGUUGACGGUACUCUAGGAGGAAGCCCCGGCUAACUCCGUGCCAGCAGCCGCGGUAAUACGGGGGGGGCAAGCGUUGUUCGGAAUUACUGGGCGUAAAGGGCGCGUAGGCGGCCAAGCAAGUCCUUCGUGAAAUCCCACAGCUCAACUGUGGAACUGCGGAGGAUACUGCUGGGCUUGAGUCCGGGAGAGGGGAGUGGAAUUCCCAGUGUAGCGGUGAAAUGCGUAGAUAUUGGGAGGAACACCGGUGGCGAAGGCGGCUCCCUGGACCGGUACUGACGCUGAGGUGCGAAAGCUAGGGGAGCAAACGGGAUUAGAAACCCCAGUAGUCC